AAGGGUUUUCUUUUACUGAGCUUCUUGCCUUUGUAGUCCAGGCCCCGACUCUUCUUGGUCCUCCAGGCCUCCUGCUGUACCAUUCAAUGUCUUCCUGAAGAAGAAGCACUAGUCGUUUGUCCAUAUAUAAUUUUUAAAUCACCAAGGCAUAUUCUAUAAAGAGAAUUUGUAAUCUGUGUUUACAUGAAGCCAAAAGUAAAAGUAAAAAGGGCCAUUGUUGUAGAAUCAGUCGUGAAGAAUUUCAGAUUCGGGGCUGUUUCCUUAAUAGAAAUGUUGAAGGUAGAAUUCUCUUUUGGGAAAACAGAAAGCCAUCUGUGCCUUAGGUAUAAAUCAAAAGGAAGAAUGUUUUUAAUGGAAGAUCCAUAAGCUCAGAUUAUACAUGGCCACUACACUUUUUAUACCACCACAAUUUUGAGGAGAUGCUAAGGGAUCUCUUUUUUUUUUUUUUUUUGUGACUAGGACAAGAGGGGAAAAAUUAACAUUAGACACCCAGCUUACAUUCUAGUCCUUUUCCUUAAACAGUGUCUAAGCAAGAGCUAAGAAAACUAGGGCAAGGGCUAUUUUUAAGGCAUCUUUAAAGUUCUUUAUUUGGGGGAUUUGCAAGCAAAAUGGUGUGAAGAUUUGCCUGACUGCAGUUGUUAGUUCUGCCAGAUUUGGAAAGCAGUGUGAAAAUAAUAUUGAUUCCACUUAUUAUUUCCUAUUAAGAAUUUACCAAAUCUUAUCAAAUCGAUCCAAUCCCAUGUGCGUUUGUGUCUGAAGAUAAGACAGAUGAGGUUCUGUGGCGAUGAAAAUUCCCUACCUAGAAGAGCAAGCGCGUGUGCCUUUUCUCGAAAGCCAUAACUCCAGUGAGAUAAUCUGCAGGGCCUGAAGUCCUCAGCCCUACAUACAGGGUCUUCAAAUCUUCUCUCUCAUUUCUUGCAACAAGUAUAGCAUCUGUCUUAGCCAGCAGGGGUUGAGGAAAGAGAAGAGCAUCAACCUCAACCCUGUCUUUUCAUACUCAUGGAACAGUCAGCAAUUCACAAAGCAUGCUGGGGACUCAUCUAGCUGACUGUAUCAUAGGAGGUGGACCAGGCCGGGGAGGGGGUGGGGGAGGAAUGAGCUGUUUAAGACCUUGAUACAUUGUGGCAGUGCUCUGUGGAGACAACACUGUCUCCAUGACGUCAUGGAGACACAGAAGCCAAGCACAGCUCUUCCGUGCUGGUCACUGACAGAAUUCAGGAUGGUUAUUAUUCAUAUGGCUCUCCUGGCCCUAUGGCUCACACCUACCUACAGGAGACCCUAAGGGUCUGUGCGUAUGGAGGGUACUCUGUACUUGAUGAGAAGGGCCUGCAGACUGAGACAGUGUUCCUGAGGUUGAAUUUCCUUCUGAAUUUCUGACCUCCUGGCCUUGGUGUUCAAUGGUUACCAACUGCUCCUUGCUUUUUCCUUCUUGGGAGAGAUAUGGCUCUGUCCUCAGUCUGCCAGGCUGGUGCAAUGGGCCACAGAUCUUAGUCCCACAGAGGUUCACUCUCAGACAACCCAGACUUAUACAAAACAUGUGAUGAAAGGAUGAGACUCUGUCACAAGGUCCUAUGGAUACAAAGCAAUAUGAGAAGCCAAAGGAAGAUAGUGGUAUACUCAGAGCUUCUGAAAGCAAAUGCUCUGAGAGAUACAGGAACACAGAUCUACUAUUUGAAAACACAAAGUUACCAUUUCAGGCUCCUUUGUUCAUCUGCUCUUCCUCUUUUCCUCUUUCCCUGUCUUUCCUUCUCUGUCUACUGAGAGUCCAGUAGGAUUAGUCCAACCAAAGCAUCAUUUAACUCACCAUACAUGUACAGAAGAGCAGUCAUGGCCGUCCUAGAGUCUUAGAAAGCUUGCUAGACUCAGAAAAGAAAAUGGUUUGUUUGCUCACUUAUAUCUCCUACUUGUUAAUAGGUCCCGGGUGCUCUUCAUUUGGAAUUGUGAUGGGGGAGGGGGAAAUGCACUCUCCUCCGAGGGUGGCAAUAGUCACCUCAUCUGUGUGUGCUGGGAACUUGACCUAAGAGUUGGUGAUGUCCCUAGCCAGUCUAGACAUCCUCUCUGUCUUUCGCUUUUAACUGUUCCUCUUUCCGCCCAUUCCUCCCUCCCUGCUCCUUUCUGGCUUCCAAAAGCAAAGCUUUCAGUAAGACUUUAUUAUGGGAAUUGUCCUUUUCAGACUUCCUUUAAAAUUUGUGACUAAUUGUAAUUCACAGUUCAAAUGAGCAGGAGAAGAAAUAAAUGACCAUAAUGUACCCACAUUUUACCUUGACAUGGGACACACUUUUAAUCUUAAACGCAUUUUGGAAGAACUUUCAUGUGUUGUCAGUUGAGCUCUUAGUUUUGUAACCCUAUCAGAAACCAAUUUUGAAACUCUGGAAACAUACCUUUCCACAGCCCCCUCCCCGACACACAUACACUUCUAGGACAAUCCCAUGAGACCUUGAGGCUGCUGACAGUUCAUCCUCCGCCCCCUGUGGCUGCUCAGUGCUCUCUUAAGGUCCCUGGGUCUCAUUCACCAGAACUUCCGUGGUUGGUGCUCAUUUCUUUAUCCGAGCCUACAGUUUCUUCCCGAGACACUGCUGUUCAGCUGAGCUGAGCUGAGCACUUUGACCGGGAUGCAAAUAAUGCAAACAUGUGUCAUUUUAUUUUCUCACCUCCCAGAGGGACCUUCCCACACGCUUCUGCCCCUGGAUGGAGUGCUGUAUGACUGUGAAUAAUUCACUGGGGUGAAUAAUUCUGCAUUUGGCAAUCCUAUGACAAAAUGAGUCCCGUGAACACAGCAGAUGUACAUUCUGAGUGGCUGCCAUCAGCGUGCAUCUGGGGAGUUAUUUACUGGUUAUUGGCAGAUUCGGGGGAGGGGAAUGGGGGAGGCAGAAGAGCCAAGGACUCUGCUCUCUCCUCCUUUCUUUUUCUGACAAUUGCCCCAGGACGGAACCUUCUCAGUCUGAAUCCUUCCAUGGAACUCUUAGAGGGAAACGUUUAUGCUCCUGGUUUUCCCCUGAACCAGGAGAUGCGGGCCCUGCCCUGGCCAUUAUAUAAACUCCAGUCACUCAUAGGAAAACAGUCGAGGCCAAGCUCUGUGGCCUCUGUGUGGCAUUGUCCAGCUUUACCCAAGUGAAUUGGGGGGAUUUUUCGCUCUGAAACUUGGAGAGCAGCUUAAGUAAUUGGAGCUACAUUAUUCCUCCUGGAGCCUGCCAGGUCAGUAGCCCCAAUAAAGCAUGGAAGGAUACAGGGAACCCAAAUGGGCAAUGGUAGGGACACACCAUCAUAUCUUUGUCCCUGUGCUGACACUGCAGAACUCCAUGCCUCCUGUCUGCUGUGGUCCUGCGGGAGACAGUGCUUGUGCCUCAUCUGCACUCCUCACACUGAAGUCUCCCUUCCCGUUUGCCUGUCUUCCUGUAUCUUUGAUCACAAUAAGACUGACGUGCAGUCAGAACAUCUUCCUGAAUUGUAGCAUCACAUAUCUCCCAUGUUGCUAGUGCUGGGCAAGAGUGAGCAGCUUGGCCUUGUCUGGAGGCUUCAAAGCACAGGCCUUUGAAGUCAUGACUCUUUUUUGGCGAUGUUGUUGCGAUUCCUCCUGUGUUCCUAGUCUCCUAUGUCCCCUCCCUGCUUGCCCUAGCUUGCUUUCUGUCACUAUAAUAAAGACCACGACCAAAAGCAACAUUUGGUGAAAAGGUUUGCAGUCCAUCAUUGAGGGAAGCCAAGGCAGGAACUCUAACAGGGCAGGAACCUAGGAGCAGACACGGCAGCGGAAACUAUAGGGGAACACUGCUUCCUGGUUUGUUCUCCAGGGCUCAUGCAGUUUGCUUACUUAUACCACCCUGGACUAUCUGCCCAGGAGUGAUGUCCUUAAUCAAGAAAGUGCUCCACAAAUUUCCCCACAGGAAAUCUCUCAAUUGAGGUUCCAUCUUUCUAGAUGACUCUAGCUUAUGUCAAGGUGACAACUGACUGGGACACUGCACUAAAAAUAUAAAAU
rnacentral:lncRNA from 1 species